AACAUAAAUUAUUUCCAAAAAUUUCAUGCAAAAUUACAAAUAUCUUAAAAUUUCAAGAAUUAAAUUUAGUAGAAAAGAAGAUUAAAUGCUACCUUAACCAUCUUCAAGCUUGUUUCUAACAAAUUCCACAAAAAAUCAACCCCCAAAGUAGCUUUCUUCUCAAGAUUGAAAAGAACUUGAAGACAGGUUUAGAGAGAGAGAGAGAUAGAGUCAGCUAGGGAUUUGAAAUACAAAAAAAUAAAUUUUUCUUUUCAUUUAACACUUAUUUAAUAAUGCAUUUUCAAUUCGUACUAAAGAAUGGUCAAAAGACCAUUUUGCCUAGGGACAAAACUUUACAUAAUUCUCAAUUAAGGGCAAUUCAAUCAUUUAACACUCACACGUAUAAUUCAUAAUUCCACAUAUAUUUUAUGUUAUAACAUAAUCACAUAAUAAAAUCAUUUUAGACCCAAAAUUUAGUGCGAACCAGAAUACCCAAUUGUGACUAUACCGUACCAUCUUGUCAGAAUUCACCUGCAGUAAGACAAUAUGAACAUACUAUAUAAUAAUAUAGUCAAUUAGCACAAUAAAUAUCAAAAUUAUAAUUUUACCCUUCUCAGGUCAAAAUUACAAAAAUACCCUUAACUAAUAAAUGACGUCUUAAAUGCAAUAAUUGUCAAAUAAUUUCAUAUAAUUAUUUAUAUUAUAAUGUAAUUACUCAAUUACUAUUAAUUUAUUUAAUUACAGUUGCUAAUCCAUUUAUUAAUUCCGGGAUAUUACAAGUGUAGAGAAGCUUUUCAAGAAUUAAAGAAGCAACUACCACAAUCUCCUAUCUUAUCAAAACCCUUGGACGGAGAAGGACAAUGAAUAUACCUUCAGUAACUAAAUUUGCAGAAGUGUUGUGUUGAUCAGAAAAGAGCACAAUACCUAACAUCUGGUCUACUAUGUCAGUAAAAGGCUAAUAGAUGCUAAAUUUUGGUACACUAUUAUAACAAAUAUUUUCUAAAAUAACUAUAUUUUAUUAAUGCAUCACUUAAUUUUACAUACAUGCUUUAUUCAUCUUAUGUUUUAUAGUUGCAACGAAUUGUUUAUAAAAAAGAAGGAAAAAUAUUUGCACCAAAGAAGCUAUAAGUUUCAUCUUUGGUGUGUAUAGUGUAUGGUAUCUGUUAUCUUAAAUUUUAUCCAUCUGACAUGGUAUGUCCACGUAAAUCAAGACUGACGACACGUGAAACACAACCUUGUCAAUAGCAGGACAAAGCCUCCUUACAAGGCAUGGCAAAAUCAUCAAGCAACAAGCGAAAGGAGUCCGUCAAAAAGCUGCACAACCAUGUUUGUCGGCCAAGGGGAGUACGUAGGCCGGCCAAGAGGAGCUUGUAUGGCCAGCCAGGGUUUGAGCACAAGCUGGCCAACCAAAGAGUGAUUGUCAGACCCAAACAUGCCUGUUCGACCAAGGAAGCCUGACCUUUACAAGGAAAGUUGUCCAAAGGCUGGUCAACACACGCUAAGGCUGGAUAACACAUGCUAAGACUGACCAACACUUGCCAAAGCUGGCAGGCACUUGAUGUGCAGCCUUGACCCUAGCAGGCACUUGGCCGGUCAGCUUACAUCCUCGCAGGCACUUGGCGUGCAGCUUGCAGCCUGGCAGGCACUUGGUGUGUAGCCUUCGUCUAGGACAACAACUCAAGUUGGGAAUUGGGCUUCAACAACCCACGAAAAUAGGGGAGAAAUAUCAACUAUUAACCUAUUUUGGGGGGAUAAUUAACCUAUUUAUUAUUUAUUAUUUUAUUAUGUAACAAAUACUUUAUAGUUCCUAUUAUUUUAGGGAUAUUAGAUUAUUAUCUUCAUGUAUGCUCUCCUAUAUAAAGAACAUUAGCUAAA